UUGGCAAUAAUAAUGUGUACAUAAUUUGUGUAGCUAACAGAAAGUAAUACAUAAUAAAUGUUUUUACUUGUUCUGAUUUAUAGGGUUAUUACAUUUUACAGGGUAACUU